rnacentral:lncRNA from 1 species
UGGCCAACUCUUCUGGAAGGGCUGAAGAACUGUUAUCCCUCUGCAGUACAUGGGGGUUUGAGCUCACGUCAAUGUGCCUGACCUAAGGGCAAAUGGAGCUAAGCAGGAGGGAGAAUUAGACACUUGCCACGGCUUGGAGACAGGGUCUACUGCUCUCUGCUGAACCAGAGGAAAGAACACACUGGCUCCUGAACCUUCGCAGGAAGACAAGGCGAGGGCUGCUGGGUGCCCGUCGCUGCUCACAGCACAGAACGUCCCACUCCUCAGACUCUUUGUCCCCGUCCUAAGACUGUCCUUCACUUGGUCCAUCCAAUCCAAAAUAUGGGCAUACGAAACACACCUCAUCCUUCACACACACAACAUGCUCAACCUUCACUAGCCACGUGACUUUCUUUCUCACAUCAUCCUGAAUUUGCUUUUCUGAAAUUUACUUUUCAAUCUUCUGACUUUUCUUCAUACCUAAGAAGACUGGACAAAGUGCUUGAAAAGCAAAUGGAAACAUUUUAUGAAUAACUACGCAAAGGAAAGACAUAUAAAUAUUUUUAAAGUUUCCCUUCUACAGAAAUGAGCUUAAGUCAACACUACAGUUGCCACUAAGUGUAAGGAUUCGUGAAGGGGAAAACGACGGACUCCCUUCCCUCUGUUCUUCUCAAGUAAUGCAAAUUAGAGAAGAGACGGGGGCGGGGAGAGAAGAGGAAUGCUGAAAGGGCAUUAUGCUUUUGCUAUUUAGUAAAAGAAGUAUCAACAUGCCUUCUGAUGACUCCUGAACAUCCCUUACAAAUGAAGGAGCCACAGAGUGGGGCAACUCCAUGCCUUUAUCACUCAGCCAGCCAAGGAAGAGGAAGACAAUCAAGCCACACUUGACAAGGGACAAGACCAUUCACUUUCAGGGCCAAGGGGAUUAGGACAGAGCAGCAUUUUCCCAUAGUGACAAGAGGAAACAAGAGAAUCGAAAGCAUCUUUCAAUUCCAUUCUGAGUCAAAGAGGUUGUUCUUGCAGCCCAACUGGGAACCUACAUGCAAACCAGUUCUAUGAGAAAAUAUGUCCCCAAAUUCCAGGAUAUCUGCUUCCCAUCCUCAGUUAGCAUACCUCCGUUUUAUAAUGUAAAAAAAAAAGGGAAAUCAGGAUUCACCUAAAUGAAUAUCAAUCAAAUGGAUAUUCCACAACUCAAGUGAUACCUGUGAACCCGAGGUGUUAGUAAACUUAAGGGUCACCAUCUACAGACUCCACAGGGAUGGGAGAUACUCUUGUGCUCCUAUGGUUGGGGCUGCCUCUAUAUCCUUUGCUUUAAAAUUCAGAAGGAGUGAAGAUCAGCUCAGGCAAUAAUGCUGGUUUGUCCCAGAGUCCAGAAUCUGCUAUGUUACCCAGAGUCUCUUAUGCUCAAAGAGGCUGUCAAAGAACGGGGUGUGGCUACCGUGGCCUCCCAGGGGCAAGUGGUCACACUCCAGCCUCACAAAGUGAGCACUGACUGUAGAGGUUCCACUAUGGUCAUGGUCUUAGCAAUAUGCAGGAAACACAGUCCAACCAUUCAUUGUCAUCUGGGUAAAAUACAAUUAAACAUCAAAGACUUGAGUCUCACAUAGUGACAUCAAAAUCUUUCCCUCAAGGCAAAGAAACAACUUGUCACAUGCACUUAAAAGAGGUUCUAUAAGUUAACAUUAGAGAGAGGAGGAGAAGGUACAAAACCCUGGGAGAGAAAAACACAUAAUUCUCUCAAAUUAGUGUCUUCCAUGGGCUGAAAACAUCUAUUAAAUGGGGACUUUGAUCCUAAAGAAAAAACGACAAAAGAAUGUUGCUCGACCUCACCUCUAUCAACUUUCCUCUGUUUCACCUGGAAUGUGUAACUCAGCUGUCCACAUCUUGGACCACUUGACCAUGCUGUGUGAUCCUAAGGACAUAACCCAAAAGGCAAUCUCCAAACUCACGGUGUCGUCACCAAUUCAACAUUUCUAUUUUAAUGUGGGAUCAACUUGUCAUGGUCACAAUGCUGAUUAUGACUUCCAUCCAGUUUUCCUUCUAUACAUGUCCAAACAUGUCACCAACAUGACCCCAUUGACUCGGGACUUGUCAGGGGUGAGAUAUGAAAGGAUUCAGAUCUGUUUUGUUCCUGCGUGGGGUCCCAGAACUACUUCCAGCAGCAAGACAGUUAAGAGACACAUUGGAUGAGGCAACAGCGGGGAAGAAAGGGAGCUGAUCUUGAAUUGGCUGUGUACUGACAGAUUGUAUGAAUGAAAGCAAUAAAAAUAAGCCCCAAAAUCUGGGUUUUGAGUGGAAA